rnacentral:misc_RNA from 1 species
GUGGGCGGAAACAGAUGGCUGAGGUAUGUUACUGUAACCGUACCGUAGUUGCAUCCAUUUAUUUGUCACUGAUUUCAUUAUCUUUUGAAAUGCAACUAAAAUGGCUCACAAAAGGUGCAUAACUGCAUACAAUAAACUCAUCUAAUAAUAUGAGGAGGGUACUGUAAGUCCAUGUACACACAGAGCAAGAAAAUUCACUGCAUUCUCUCUCUCUGUUUCUCUCUCUCAGCCUCAAAAACCUUUCACUCCAUUGUUUCUCCUCUUCUUCUUCCUCCUCCUUUGAAUUUUAUAUGUAUUUUAACAUUUUCGCGUCAUGAAAAAUCCACAGACCAUGCAGUCUCGCUCAAAGCCCCAUGAAGAGGUAUUUGUCUCUCCCUUUUUUCACUUUGUUUUUUUGGCUUGGGUUUUGGUUAAUUUUGAUGUUUGCGUUAUGGGGAUUAGUUUACUAAGAGAGAAAUUGGACAGAGCAAAAGUUGGGCUGAAACAUUUUGUUGUUUGGGUUGUUCGUGCCUACAGCUGUUUUGGCCCAGAGUGGUCAUGCGUAAAUUGCUUAACAUCUCCACCAAAGAUUCCGAUUACAGUGCCGACACUGACUCAGACGACGGUGACAAUGAUUCUGUUUCUGAUACCGAAGAAUUUUGUGAGUGCGGUGGAGAAUCGCGGUUUAGAGGUAAUGGAGGAGAGGAUGCUCAGCUUGAUCCUAUCAAUGAUGCUCUUCCAAGAUUAAGGAGACGAAAAUCAGAAACUUUUAGGACACAGUAUAUAAACACAAAGGAACUCAGAAUAUGCAUUGGUACAUGGAAUGUUGGAGGAAAACUACCACCUGAUGAUCUAGAUAUUGAUGAGUGGAUUGAUAUUGAUGAACCUGCUGACAUCUAUGUUUUUGGUCUUCAGGAGAUUGUGCCAUUGAAUGCUGGGAAUAUAUUUGGUGCUGAAGAUAACCGCCCAGUUCCAAAGUGGGAAAACAUUAUUCGUGAUGCACUGAAUAGAAUUCGACCAACAAAGACCAAAGUUAAAUGCUAUACUGAUCCCCCAUCUCCAUCAAAAUUUAAGCCAUCUGAUGAUGUGCCAGAUAUAGAAGAGAUAUUACUCGAAAGUGAUAGUGAUAUUGGUGAGGAAAUUCAUCCAUUGGAUGAAGAUGAAGAUAGUCCGGACAUGGGUGACAUGGAUGUUAAUUCUGGAUUAGCAUCGGAUAAUAGUGGUAAAUUAGGUGUCCCAGUAGAAGAGAAUUUACAGAGGCAAUUUUCUUCUCCAAAGAAAUUAAGUAGGCUAAAUUGUUUGCGGACAGAAGAUUCUGCUGGAGAUGUAGAAGUAGCGGCAGGUCAAAACAACCGCAAGUUAACCAAAAUGCUUAGUGGCACUGAAAGGAUUGGUUUGAGCUGGCCAGAGCCCCCAUUAGACUUGUUAUCUCAGCAUGUUUUACAGAGACCAAAUUCCUUUAAAGCAGUUAAAUCUUUUAAAGCAAGCAAGUCUUUUGGAGCAUAUAAUUCUUUCAAGUUACUCACAAAUGAAAUGCAAUCGGACAUAGCGUUUCUUGCAGAACUUGACCUUGAAGCUCUCAUGAAACGCAAAAGAAGAUCAUCAUAUGUAAGGAUAGUAAGUAAGCAGAUGGUUGGAAUUUUCCUCACAAUUUGGGUUCGUAGGAGCUUGCGAAAGUACAUUCAGAACUUGAAAGUGUCGACCGUUGGCGUUGGGGUCAUGGGCUACAUUGGUAACAAGGGAUCGAUAUCAGUCAGUAUGUCUAUAUAUCAGACUCUUUUCUGUUUUAUAUGCACUCACCUGACAUCAGGUGAAAAAGAUGGAGAUGAACUCAAAAGAAAUGCUGAUGUGCAUGAAAUACAUAGGAGAACUCUAUUCCAUGGCAAUUCUGGUAUUGGUCUUCCAAAACGCAUCCUUGAUCAUGAAAGAAUUAUUUUGCUGGGUGAUUUGAACUAUCGGAUCAACUUGUCAUAUGAGAAAACACGAGAACUAAUCUCCCGAAAGGAGUGGUCCAAGUUAGAGGAGAGGGAUCAGCUUGUACGAGAACUAAGAAAGGGUCGUGCAUUUGAUGGAUGGACUGAGGGUACAUUAAAUUUUCCACCAACAUAUAAGUAUGAAAUAAAUUCAGACAAUUAUUAUGGAGAGGAUCCUAAAGCUGGGAGGCGUGUUCCAGCAUGGUGUGAUCGCAUCCUUUCUUAUGGAAAGGGAAUGAGGCUACUCAAGUACAGGAGAAAAGAGCUCAAACUUUCUGAUCAUCGACCUGUUACAGCCACUUAUAUGGCUGAGGCUGAGGUGUUCUGUCCUAGGAAGCUACAGAGGGCACUCACAUACACAGAUGCAGAGAUUGAAAAUGAGGAAGUUCUGGAAGAAACCAUUGAUGUUGGAAUGAGCCAGUUGAGAUUGGAGAAGGAUAUUUCUUCAUGGGAGCGUUAAUGGAGUCAAUGUAUUAUAAAAGGCAAAAAGCUUGAAGUAACUUUGCAAUUCUUCACUAUAUAAGAACUAGAUCCAUCCAUUUGAUUUUGCCAUUUUUUUCACGAUAUUGUAAAUUCCAGUUAUUAUAUUUAGUGUGUUAACUUGAGGGGUUUGUCCUAUAGGGUUCAUAGAAAGAUUUAAGAUAGAAAGUGUGGUGGGUCUUUACGUGUGCAUCAAAGAAGGUAAUGUGUAUUUAGAGAACAAUCCUUAAGGUGUGCAGCACUCUCCAGUCUCAUGGAUCAUUAAUGUUGAUGUAAAAAAAUAAUAAUAACAAUUAAUGCAUGUGUUUAGUGAGUUGGUGCUGCUAUGUUGGCUUUAUUUAUUUACCACCUUUAUCUUAACAAAUGAACAUAUAUGCAAA